AUAUCAAUAAGCGGAGGAAAAGAAACCAACAGGGAUUGCCCUAGUAACGGCGAGUGAAGCGGCAACAGCUCAAAUUUGAAAUCUGGCCCUAGCGGUCCGAGUUGUAAUUUGUAGAGGAUGCUUUUGGUGAGGUGCCUUCCGAGUUCCCUGGAACGGGACGCCGGAGAGGGUGAGAGCCCCGUACGGUUGGACGCCAAACCUCUGUAUAGCUCCUUCGACGAGUCGAGUAGUUUGGGAAUGCUGCUCUAAAUGGGAGGUAAAUUUCUUCUAAAGCUAAAUACCGGCCAGAGACCGAUAGCGCACAAGUAGAGUGAUCGAAAGAUGAAAAGCACUUUGAAAAGAGGGUUAAAUAGCACGUGAAAUUGUUGAAAGGGAAGCGUUUGCGACCAGACUUUUUCCAGGCGGAUCAUCCGGCGUUCUCGCCGGUGCACUCCGCCUGGUUGAGGCCAGCAUCGGUUUCCUUAGGGGGAUAAAGGCCUGGGGAACGUAGCUCCUUCGGGAGUGUUAUAGCCCCUGGCGUAAUACCCCUCGGGGGACCGAGGAACGCGCUCUGCAAGGAUGCUGGCGUAAUGGUCGUCAACGACCCGUCUUGAAACACGGACCAAGGAGUCGAACAUUUGUGCGAGUGUUUGGGUGUCAAACCCUCACGCGUAAUGAAAGUGAACGGAGGUGAGAGCCCUUACGGGUGCAUCAUCGACCGAUCCUGAUGUCUUCGGAUGGAUUUGAGUAAGAGCAUAACUGUUCGGACCCGAAAGAUGGUGAACUAUGCGUGGAUAGGGUGAAGCCAGAGGAAACUCUGGUGGAGGCUCGCAGCGGUUCUGACGUGCAAAUCGAUCGUCAAAUCUGCGCAUGGGGGCGAAAGACUUAUCGAACCAUCUAGUAGCUGGUUACCGC
rnacentral:rRNA from 1 species